rnacentral:rRNA from 1 species
UACGAAGGGGGCUAGCGUUGCUCGGAAUGACUGGGCGUAAAGGGCGCGUAGGCGGCUUGCACCGUCAGAUGUGAAAUUCCUGGGCUUAACCUGGGGGCUGCAUUUGAUACGUGUGGGCUUGAGUGCGGAAGAGGGUCGUGGAAUUCCCAGUGUAGAGGUGAAAUUCGUAGAUAUUGGGAGGAACACCAGUGGCGAAGGCGGCGAUCUGGGAAGAUACUGACGCUGAGGUGCGAAAGCGUGGGGAGCAAACAGG